rnacentral:rRNA from 1 species
UGAACUCCACCCAUAUCUUGCUUCCACUGGCCAGUGCUGAGCUGCCUUCUUUCUUUAUUCGUCUGGCGUUAGUCUGACGUUGAAAGGGAAGGGGGGGGCGAGGCCCUUCAAAGAAUCUGUGGGUGACUUCAAAGGUCUCCAUGGCUGAAGCGUGCCGGUGGUGGCCCAAUUUGAAAAAAAAAAAAAUACUUGAAAUCAUUUAAAAAAUACUGUCUGAUACAUGAAAACAAAGAUUUUAUAUAAUCAUUAUAAAACUUUCAACAACGGAUCUCUAGGCUCUUGCAUCGAUGAAAAACGCAGUGAAAUGCGAUACGUAAUGUGAAUUGCAAAAUCUCGUGAAUCAUUGAAUCUUUGAACGCACAUUGCGCCCUGUGGUAUUCCAUAGGGCAUGCCUGUCUGAACGUCAGCUCCCCCCCACUCAAGCUCUUUUGCUUGGAUUAUUUCGGACAAGCAGUCCCAUUUGUGGAUUGCCGCCCGCAAAUUCAUAGGCAGUAUGGUCUUCGUUCCCCCCUUCGUUUCCAAUGCUGAGCGUAAUAACUUUAAAAACGAUCACGCCCAUACCAAGUUUGGAAAAUUGAAGAGAAUGAUCAUCGUACUCGCCCCAACAACCCACCCCACUUCAAAAUGGUUUUUUUUCACGAAAAUCAUUCCGGGUGACCUCAGAUCAGGUAGGGAUACCCGCUGAACUUAAGCAUAUCAAUAAGCGGAGGAAAAGAAACCAACAGGGAUUGCCUCAGUAACGGCGAGUGAAGCGGCAAAAGCUCAGAUUUGGAAUCUGGCGUCACCUUCUGGCGUCCGAGUUGUAAUCUGCAGAGGGGCAUUCGAGUGUGGCGAUGGCUUAAGUUUCUUGGAACAGGACGUCAUAGAGGGUGAGAACCCCGUUAACGGCCCUUUGUCUUAUGCUCAUGUGAAUCUCCUUCGACGAGUCGAGUUGUUUGGGAAUGCAGCUCUAAAUGGGUGGUAAAUUCCAUCUAAAGCUAAAUACUGGCAAGAGACCGAUAGCGCACAAGUAGAGUGAUCGAAAGAUGAAAAGAACUCUGAACAGAGAGUCAAAUAGUACGUGAAAUUGUUGAAAGGGAAGCACUUGCUACCAGACACGCCUGCGGUCGAUCAGCCUUCACUCUGUGAUGGUGCACUCGGCCUGCAUUGGUGGGUCAGCAUCAGUUGUGGCGGCGGGAUAAAGGCCUGGGGAAUGUGG